ensembl:lncRNA LINC01128 long intergenic non-protein coding RNA 1128
GCUGCGCGCGUUUCUGGCCCUGCCAGUGUCUCCGCCGGUUGAAAGCGCGUGUCUGCGUCGGGUUCUGUUGGAGUGCGUUCGGUGCGCCGUGGGUCCGCGCUGCUUCCACCCAACUUCCUGUUAGUUUCUCUCCUGUCACAAUGGCAUGAUCUCGGCUCACUGCGACCUCUGCUUCCUGGGUUCAAGGAUUCUCCUGCCUCAGCCUCCCAAGUAGCUGGGAUUACAGGUGCGUGCCAAUAUACCCGGCUAAUUUUUUGUAUUUUUGGUAGAGACUGGGCUUCACCAUGUUGGUCAGGCUGGUCUGGAACUCCUGGCCUCAAGUGAUCUGCCUGCCUCGGCUUCCCAAAGUGCUGGGAUAACAGGCAUGAGCCACCCGGCGCCCGGGCUUAAUGUUUGUUUAUAUAGGUUAUUAAGAAUCAGUUUGUGACAGGCUAUUAGUAUUGUUACUUCUCUUUGUUACUGUCGAUUUUAACAUCAAUUUAUGUGUGUACUAUUACCUUUAAAGUAAAACUUAUUUUUAAACUAAGAA